rnacentral:rRNA from 1 species
CCUACGGGUGGCAGCAGUGGGAAAUAUUGCACAAUGGGGGAAACCCUGAUGCAGCGACGCCGCGUGAGUGAAGAAGUAUUUCGGUAUGUAAAGCUCUAUCAGCAGGGAAGAAGAAAGACGGUACCUGACUAAGAAGCCCCGGCUAACUACGUGCCAGCAGCCGCGGUAAGACGUCGGGGGCAAGAGUUAUCCGGAUUUAAUGGGUGGAAAGGGAGCGUAGACGGCUGUGCAAGUCUGAAGUGAAAGCCCAGGGAUCAACCCUGGGACUGCUUUGGAAACUGUGGAGCUAGAGUGCUGGAGAGGUAAGUGGAAUUCCUAGUGUAGCGGUGAAAUGCGUAGAUAUUAGGAGGAACACCAGUGGCGAAGGCGGCUUACUGGACAGUAACUGACGUUGAGGCUCGAAAGCGUGGGGAGCAAACAGGAUUAGAUACCCUUGUAGUC